UACGUAGGGGGCAAGCGUUGUCCGGAUUUAUUGGGCGUAAAGAGCGUGUAGGCGGCCAUACAGGUCCGUUGUGAAAACUCGAGGCUUAACCUCGAGACGUCGAUGGAAACCGUAUGGCUAGAGUCCGGAAGAGGAGAGUGGAAUUCCUGGUGUAGCGGUGAAAUGCGCAGAUAUCAGGAGGAACACCGGUGGCGAAGGCGGGUCUCUGGACCGAUACUGACGCUGAGGAGCGAAAGCGUGGGGAGCGAACAGG
rnacentral:rRNA from 1 species